rnacentral:rRNA from 1 species
AUAUUGGUGAGAGACCGAUAGCGAACAAGUACCGUGAGGGAAAGAUGAAAAGCACUUUGGAAAGAGAGUUAAACAGUACGUGAAAUUGUUGAAAGGGAAACGAUUGAAGUCAGUCAUGUCUGUUGGUUUCAGCUUGCUCUGCAAGUGUAUUACCUUCAGACGGGUCAACAUCAGUUUUGGUGCGGUGGAUAAGAACGGAUUGAAGGUGGCACCCUCGGGUGUGUUAUAGCUUUCUGUUGCAUACACUGCCUGAGACUGAGGACUGCAGCUCGCCCUCACGGGCCGGCCUUCGGGCACGUUCGAGCUUAGGAUGUUGGCAUAAUGGCUUUAAACGACCCGUCUUGAAACACGGACC